rnacentral:rRNA from 1 species
AGCCCAGAGAAAUUUGGAUUAAUACCUCAUAGUAUAACGACUCGGCAUCGAGAUGUUAUUAAAGUUCCAACGGUAAAAGAUGAGCAUGCGUCCCAUUAGCUAGUUGGUGUGGUAACGGCACACCAAGGCAACGAUGGGUAGGGGUCCUGAGAGGGAGAUCCCCCACACUGGUACUGAGACACGGACCAGACUCCUACGGGAGGCAGCAGUGAGGAAUAUUGGUCAAUGGGCGCAAGCCUGAACCAGCCAUGCCGCGUGCAGGAUGACGGUCCUAUGGAUUGUAAACUGCUUUUGUACAGGAAGAAACACUCCCUCGUGAGGGAGCUUGACGGUACUGUAAGAAUAAGGAUCGGCUAACUCCGUGCCAGCAGCCGCGGUAAUACGGAGGAUCCAAGCGUUAUCCGGAAUCAUUGGGUUUAAAGGGUCCGUAGGCGGGUUUAUAAGUCAGUGGUGAAAGCCCAUCGCUCAACGAUGGAACGGCCAUUGAUACUGUAGAUCUUGAAUUAUUAGGAAGUAACUAGAAUAUGUAGUGUAGCGGUGAAAUGCUUAGAGAUUACAUGGAAUACCAAUUGCGAAGGCAGGUUACUACUAAUGGAUUGACGCUGAUGGACGAAAGCGUGGGUAGCGAACAGGAUUAGAUACCCUGGUAGUCCACGCCGUAAACGAUGGAUACUAGCUGU